AGCAGCCGCGGUAAUUCCAGCUCCAAUAGCGUAUAUUAAAGUUGUUGCAGUUAAAAAGCUCGUAGUUGAAUUUCGGGAUCAGAGUGUCGGUCGUGCCUCGGUAUGCACUGGUAUUAUUGGUUCCUACCUUCUGAAGAACCGCGAUGUCAUUAAUUUGGUGUCGUGGGGAAUCAGGACUGUUACUUUGAAAAAAUUAGAGUGUUUAAAGCAGGCUUACGCUGGAAUACAUUAGCAUGGAAUAAUGAAAUAGGACGUUUGAUUCUAUUUUGUUGGUUUCUAGGAUUGACGUAAUGAUUAAUAGGGAUAGUUGGGGGCAUUAGUAUUCAAUUGUCAGAGGUGAAAUUCUUGGAUUUAUUGAAGACUAACUACUGCGAAAGCAUUUGCCAAGGAUGUUUUCAUUAAUCAAGAACGAAAGUUAGGGGAUCGAAGACGAUCAGAUACCGUCGUAGUCUUAACCAUAAACUAUGCCGACUAGGGAUCGGAUGAUGUUAAUUUUUAAUGACUCAUUCGGCGCCUUAAC
rnacentral:rRNA from 1 species